GACGAACGCUGGCGGCGUGCUUAACACAUGCAAGUCGAACGGAAAGGCCCUGCUUUCGUGGGGUGCUCGAGGGGCGAAGGGGUGAGUAACACGUGAGUAACCUGCCCUUGACUUUGGGAUAACUUCAGGAAACUGGGGCUAAUACCGGAUAGGAUCUCCUGCUGCAUGGUGGGGGUUGGAAAGUUGCGGCGGUUGGGGAUGGACGGGCGGCUGAUCAGCUUGUUGGUGGGGUAGUGGCUUACCAAGGGAUUGACUGGUAGGCGGCAUGGGAGGGUGGCCGGGGACAUGGCUACUGCGGUAGGGCGCAGUCGGGUACGGGGGGCAAUGGGGGGGAGUAUUGCACAAUGGGCCGGAGUGGGUUGCAGCGACGCCGGGGUCGGGAUGACGGCCUUUGGGGUGUAAACCGCUGUAGGCUAAGACGAAGCGGGAGUGACGGUAAUGAGAGAAGAAGCACCGGCUAACUACGUG
rnacentral:rRNA from 1 species